AAAGCAGUCUUUGUUCUAUUGUAUUGGUGGGCCCGAGUAUCUGUUCUUAUCAGUGAAAUUACUGGUAUUGGUUCAUCGAACCAAUCAAUUAAUUACUCUUAUCUUUGCAAUGCCCCCAAUCACCACCCAGCUUGCUGGACUGAUUGAGAUGAUGGCCUUGGGCUCACACUACUCCCUUGUGCUGUCAGGCAAA
rnacentral:snRNA from 1 species